AAUAACUACUCAUCAGGCCAACAAUGGAUGCCUAGGCUUGUUUUGCCGAAGAAGGACGCAUGAAGCGGCGAUACUCGUCGGGGAAGAGCUUCUCUCUUAUGAUCCGGCGGUUUCCGAAUGGGGCAACCCAUCCCGAUUCGAUCGGGAAGAUCUGUUGUAAACACGGUUCGCAUUCUGUAAAUCAAAUUAGACUAAUUAGUCUAAUUAGACAAAUUUGUUUAUAGAAUGCGGACCGGUAUAGCAAUAAGAUAGGUAAGCGGGUGAACUGAAACAUCUUAGUAACCCGAGGAAAAGAAAACAUGUCUCGACUUUGUCGAGACCCAUUCCGUAAGUAGCGGCGAGCGAAAGCGGAACAGCCCAAACUUUCACCGCAAGGUGGGAGGGUUGUAGGGUUGACAAUAUAGGAGUGCAGCGGAUAACAGAACUGCUCGGAAUAGCAGACCAAAGAGCGUGAAAGUCGUGUACGUAAAAUCCAAAGCACCUUUAGUCAAUACCUGAGUACCACGGGACACGCAAAAGCCCGUGGGAAUCUGGGGAGGCCACUCUCCAAGGCUAAAUACAAAACAAGACCGAUAGUGAACGAGUACCGUGAGGGAAAGGUGAAAAGCACCCCGGAAGGGGAAUGAAAUAGUACCUGAAAUUGUUGGCUAUCAAACAGACAAAGCUUGUCCGAAGGACAAGGAAUUUCUAAUUAUUAAUUUUUCCUGCAAAGCAGGAUCUAGCUAUGCUAGACAAUUUUCAAUCAAUUUUCGAUAUUUUAAUUUUUAUAAAAUAAAAUUUUUGAUUUGAUUGGAUAUUGGUAAUUGUAAAUUGGAGUUUCUCGUCCUUUGGACGAGUGCUGUCGUGCCUAUUGAAGAAUGAUCCGGUGAGUUGCCGAUAUUUGCUUGUUUAAUCCUGUAACAGGAGUAAGCGGAGCGAAAGCGAGUCUAGAGUUACAAAUCUGUGAGAUGACUUGUGGUUAGGGGUAAUAUGCCUAUCGAACCCAGAGAUAGCUGGUUCUCCCCGAAAUAUAUUUAGGUAUAGCUUUGACAAGAUCCGUUCAGGGGUAGAGCACUGAAUAGUUCAUGUAUCGCAAGGUACAUGAUUUAAUCAAACUCCGAAUACUGACGGAAUUUGUCAAGAGUCAGAGAUAUACGGCUAAGCGCGUGUCUCGAGAGGAAAACAGUCCAGAUUUCCAUCUAAGGUCUCUAAAAACUGUUAAGUGGUGAAGGAAGUUCAAAACUUAAAACAUCCAGGAGGUUGGCUUAGAAGCAGCCAUCCUUUAAAGAAAGCGUAACAGCUCACUGGCCGAAGUUUUGGGCGCCCAAAAUGAUCGAGGCUCAAACAGUUUACCGAAGGUGAAAAACUUGUGCUUUGCACAAGAAUGCUAAAUCCCAAAUGCUAAAUGUCCAAUAUUUUUUAUUAAUUAUUUUUUUAAUAAAUUUAUUUAUCAUUUAUCAUUGGUAAUUUGACAUUCUCGCGCAGAGCGCGAGUUGGUAGGGGAGCGUUCCAUUUGCAUUGAAGGUUACGCUGUAAGGCGGACUGGAGUUGAUGGAAGUGAGAAUGCCGGAAUGAGUAGCGUUAGAAAAUGAGAAUUUUUCUUGCCGCAUGUCCAAGGUUUCCGAAGCAACGUUCGUCGUCUUCGGGUAAGUCGGAUCUAAGGCGAGUCCUAUGAAAGUAGGGGUAGCUCGAUGUAUGUGCCGUUAAAAAUUCGGCAACUUUAUGUUUGCGAUCAAGACACUAAGGAUUGACAAAGAGAGAUAGCUUUAGCCAUGUUUUGAUGAUAUGGUCUAAGUUGUGAGAUAGUUCCGAAUGGCAAAUCCUUCGGAGUGUUUAAUCAAGCAGCAAAUGCGAUUCUUUGAGCGAUCAGAGGAAAGUGAAGUGAGUUUUUCUUUCAAGAAAAAGUUCGUAGUGAUGCAGAUAUGAAUCCGUACCGCAAACCGACACUGGUGGACUAAGAGAGUAUCUUAAGGCAAUCGGGAGAAAGUGGUUCAAGGAACUCGGCAACAUAAACUGGGCGUAAGCUAUGCAAGAUGCCCUGCCUCAACUUAACUGUUGGGGUUACAAUAAAAGAUAUUAAGCAACUGUUUAACUAAAACACAGCUCUCUGCAAAGCCGAAAGGCAACGUAUAGGGGGUGACACCUGCCCAAUGCUCGUAGGUUAAGCGUGAUACUUGAGAUUACAUCAAGGGUGUUCCGCAAGCCCGAGUGAAUGGCAGCAGUAACUAUAAAAUACAGUUUUGUAGUUGUAAAACCGAGCCAAAUGCUGGAAAAUCCGUACCGUACAAACGGUUGAAGUAUCUGUCGCUACCAUUUACAAUGGUAAUAAUGCGUACAGUGCGGACAAUCAGCAGGAAAGAUUUGAAUCAAGAAAAUUUAGGAUUUUUUCUAGCUGGAUUUGUAGAAGGUGAAGGAAGUUUUAACGUAUCAUUGCGCCGAAAACCUGACUAUAAAGUCGGGUGGCAGGUGGUAAUGAGUUUUAAUGUUUCACAAAAAGAUAUUUCAAUAUUAAAUAUAUUAAAAUAUCAAUUAAAGUGUGGAAUUAUUAAAGUAAGAAAAAAAGACAAUCUUCAUUCAUUUGAUGUAACAAAUUCUCAGGAUAUAAUCCAAAAAGUUAUUCCAUUUUUCAAGAAAUAUCCAGUUUUAUCUUUAUCUAAAAAGAAAAAUUUCUCAAUUUUUUGCAAAAUUGCAAAAUUGAUGAAUAGAGGAGAACAUAGAAAUAAGAUAGGACUAAGAAAAAUUCUUGAACUUCGGGAAAUAAUUAACGAAGGAAAAGGUAGAACUAGAAAAUAUGGAAUAAAAGAUAUUUUUUCUUGAUUUAAAAAUCCUCAGAGACUAUACGCUUGGUCCCGCCAAUUUAUUAAAGUAAUAAUGAAGGCGGGAAUGAUAUAGUCCGACCUCAUAAGCGAUUAUGAGAUUACGUAAUCAAUCGUAAUUAUGAGUUUAUUUGAAUACAAUUCAAAUAGAUUUUAAUAACAAUGUGAACUGUUCUAUGGUGGGAUUAACUGCCAUAGUGAGGUAGUCAAACCUCUUCUAUUUAAGGAAUAGAAAAAUUGCACUAUAUGCUGGAACAUCUGAGUAUCUUUUGAUACUAUGACUUUUUGUCAAGUAAAAAUUUAAAAGUGCAGAUAAUCAGCAGGAAAGAAAUAUUUAUAGUUAUUAAUGAAAAACUAUAGAUCUUUAUCCUCAACGACUAUACGUGCAAGUCCGACUUAAACGUCGUGACAAGAUAUAGUCUGAUCUUCAAUGCGAAUUGAAGUUAUACCGAUCUUCUUAGAAUUUGCAAGAUUUUAUUCUAAAAAAAUCUUGCUCUAAUAAGAUGAUCGAGUAUAUACGCGAUGCAUUUUCAAAUGCUAUCGGUAUAACAUUUUGAGCGAAGUCCCUUGUCGGGUUAGUUCCGACCUGCACGAAUGGUAGAAUGACUUAAUAACUGUCUUGAACCAUUACCCGGCGAAAUUGAAAUGGCUGUGAAGAUGCGGCCUACACACACAUGGACAAAAAGACCCCGUGGAGCUUUACUGUAAUUUGACACUGGGAAGACGUUUUUAACUGUCGAGGGUAGGAGGGAGUCUUAACGCAAGUUGAGACAACGAUGGAACACCUCUCUUUGGAAACGUUGACUCUAAUCGCUAUUUGCCGCAUAAAAAUCCGGCAGCGAAACACUGUCUGAUGGGCAGUUUAACUGGGGAGGUUGCCUCCAAAAGGGUAACGGAGGCGUACAAAGGUACCUUAAGCACGGAUGGAAAUCGUGCUCUGUCGUAUAAAGGCAUAAAGGUGCUUGACUGCGAGACUUACAAGUCGAGCAGGGUCGAAAGACGGUCUUAGUGAUCCCCGCUUGCGCAGUGGUUGCGCAGCGGGCUUAACGGAUAAAAGCUACCCCGGGGAUAACAGGCUGAUCGCAUCCGAGCGUCCACAGCGACGAUGCGGUUUGGCACCUCGAUGUCGGCUCAUCCUAUCCUGGCGGUGAAGAAGCUGCCAAGGGUCCGGCUGUUCGCCGGUUAAAAGGGUACGCGAGCUGGGUUCAGAACGUCGUGAGACAGUAGACCUAUAGUAUUAGACAAAUACUAUUAAAGAGCUGUCUAUCCCUAAAUGUUUUGGACUAAUAAAGAGGAUAAAGGGAAACCUAUAGAUAUAGGUUUAAAAUCUGACUAAAUGCUGGAAACUCCGAGAAUAGUGUGAUACUCUUUUUAUAGAGAUUAUUUAAUCUCUAUAUUAUGAGUGAAAAUUCAACACUUGCGGACAAUCAGCAGGUAAGAAAGAAGAUUAAUGAUGAUUAUUUUGUAGGUUUUGUGGAUGGAGAAGGAUGUUUUUAUGUUGGAUUCAGUAAAAGAAAUGAUUUACCAAUUCCUUGGCAAAUAAUUACUGAAUUUCAUGUAAGUCAAAAUCCAGGUAGUAAAAAUGUUUUAGAGAAAUUACAAAAAAGACUUGAAUGUGGUUAUUUAAAACCCAAUCAUGCUAAAAGCAUUAAAGACAAAACAUGGAUUUUGAUUGUUAAAAAUAGAAAAGACUUAUUAGAAAAAGUUGUUCCAUUUUUUGACAAACAUUCACUCAUAUCAGCAAAACAAAAAGAUUUUUUAGUAUUUAGAAAAGUAUUAUCUUUAAUUAAAGAUAAAAAACAUCUACAUAAAGAUGGUUUUUUAGAAAUAAUUGAUGUAGUUUUUUCUCUUAAAAGAAAUACUAAUAAAAAAUAUACAAAAAAAAUAUUAUUAACUUCUUUAAACCUCAGAGACUAUAUGUCAGACUCCGACGUUACGUCGGAGAAGAUAUAGUCCGAACUGCAUGGCGACAUGUAGAAUGAAUUAGAAAUAAUUCGUCCGUUUUUAUCAAAACGUGUAACAAAAUUGUCGGUCUCUAUCCUGUGUGUGCGUUGGAUAUUUGAGAGGGGUCGCCCGUAGUACGAGAGGACCCGGGUGAACGAAUCCCUGGUGUGCCAGUUGUCCCAAGUCUGGGGCACUGCUGGGUAGCCACAUUCGGUUGGGAUAAGCGCUGAAAGCAUCUCAAGCGCCAAGCCUACCUCAAGAUAAGAUAUCCUUGCCUGCGCAAGCAGGCUUAUAAACCCCUGGAAGAUUACCAGGUUGAUAGGCUGGAGGUGGAAGAUCCGUAAGGAUUUAAGCUGACCAGUACUAAUCGGUUAAGAGUAGUAUUUUU
rfam:Microgenomates (Gottesmanbacteria) bacterium GW2011_GWA1_34_13 TR52_C0007, whole genome shotgun sequence.